GAGAGAGAGAGAUGGGGGGAGGAGACAGUGAGUAGUUUCAGACUAGGGAGAGUGGAGGAAGGAAAAAAGUCGGUGUGAAAAAGAGAAUGGGAAACUGACUGAUAUACUGCGAAUGGCGAGCCUCAGGAGAGCAGAUGACAAAUUAACACAAGGAUAAAAUGUUGCGAAAACCAUCAAUUGGGCACAAGAGCGCGCGUAUGUAACAGAGAGACGCUGAGUGCUGCUUUUCUGCCGUGUUGGGAUUGUAUCGAUCGCUCCCGGGACAGACGGGAAAGCGCUGUUUCGGAACUCCGUUGCACCUCGUCCCGUCGCGCCAGUGGAAGUAAGUUACUGAGCCGCUUUCCCAAACUCAGCGCUGUCGGUCGGAGGGUUUGGAGGGAUCGUGUAAAGAGGCCAGAAAACACACAACGGGAGCAACAAGAGCGCUGAACAUUGGACAAAAGUUUGGCCUUUUGGAGACGGGGCUGCGGGAGAGGCCGAGUCUCGCCACUGCUGAACUGACAACUUCACCCAGCUUGCUGUGUGUUAGGAGCAGAUAACUUUCACCAUGAAAACCCAGGGGGACGCGGGGUUUGCGUUCCCAGACUGGGCCUAUAAGCCCGAGUCCAGUCCUGGCUCCAGACAGAUCCAGCUGUGGCACUUUAUCCUAGAGCUGCUGAGGAAGGAGGAGUAUCAUGAUGUGAUUGCCUGGCAGGGAGAUUAUGGGGAGUUUGUGAUCAAAGACCCUGAUGAGGUGGCCAGGUUGUGGGGCGCCCGCAAGUGCAAACCUCAGAUGAACUACGACAAACUCAGCAGAGCUCUCAGGUAUUAUUACAACAAGAGAAUUCUACAUAAAACUAAAGGAAAACGCUUCACCUACAAGUUUAAUUUCAACAAGCUGGUCCUGGUCAACUACCCUUUCAUUGAUAUGGGGUCUGCAGGAGCAGCUGUUCCUCAAAGUGCUCCACCAGUGCCUACAGGUCCCCAUUUCCGUUUCCCUCCAUCCACUCCUUCAGACAUGCAGGUGUCUGAAGUGCUGCGGUCCCCCAGCAGUGAAGAAUUGCGCAGUCCGGGGAUGUUCAGCGGCCGCCGCAUCGCCCGUGGGUCUGUCUCUGACUGCAGCGAUGGAACUUCUGUCAACUCUGAGAUCGAAGAUGGGAACGGAGGUGCGGCAGAGGAGAGAGUGACUGAAAGAGUGGCUGAGAGAGGUGGAGGAGGUGGCAGUUUCCGAGGUGCUGUUCACCCUCGUCUGUCUCACGAGGCUAUGUUCAGGAUGUACGGUGGACCGGGCGGUCACAGAGGUCAUCGAGUGUCAGAGGUUGGCGGACACAGGGUUCAUCCCGAGCCUCUCUCGCCAUUCACCGUCUCGCCUCUGUCCGGUCCGGGAGGUCCAGGCCUGUUGGUGCCACCUCUCUCGCCGGCACUCUCCAUGACCCCAGGCUCUCACCUGGCCUACACUCCCUCCCCUACCCUGUCGCCCAUGCCUGGCUCCAUCUUCUCCUUCAACCCAGAGGACAUGCAGCGCUACCUGCAGGCUCACACCCAGAGCGUCUACAAUUACCACCUGAGCCCUCGUGCCUUCUUUCAUUACCCAAACAUCAUCGUUCCUCAGCCUCAGCGCCCCGACAAAGGCAUGCCCGGACCCCAGGGCUGUGAUCGUGGUCCUGCCGAGAGGCCUUCGGUGCUCAACAGCCAUCACUCCAUCCUCCCGCCACCUCACGCUCACCCUAUUCACCAUCACCUGGGGGAGGAACAGCACCAUUCUCCAUUCAAGUUCAAACUCCAGCCUCCCCCAUUGGGCCGAAAACAGCGCGACAGUCAGGGUCGACAGGCCUCGCUGUCCUCCACAUCUACAUCUGGUCUGGGUUCCUCGUUGUCGUUUGGGAGUGACCUCAGUUCAGCCAGCGGAUCAGGACUGGUGUCCAACUCCUCCUCAACCGGCUCGCUAAACAGCGCGGGGUUGCCCAAGAUUAAGGUUGAGCCCAUAUCUGACAUUGAAUCAGAAGAGGAAGUCGAAGUAACUGACGUCAGUGAUGAAGAAGCUGAUGAAAGAGAUGAAGAGUUUGAUGUUUUCCCCUCUCACUACCAUAAACACCGUCAUCAUCAUCACCAUAAUCAUUAUCCACACAGCCAAAAGCACCAACAGCCCAACGGCACUGAUGCCGCUCUCCACCCAGAUGAGGACUUGGAGGAAGAGGUGUUCAAAGCCCCCGCACCUCCACCCUUCUUCAUCCCUCCCACCUCUUCCUCAGGUGAUGGUCGCCGUAGUAACUCCAUUGUGAAGAGCGAACCCGUGGAGCCUGCGGACAUGCAGCUGCCACAAACCAACUCCCAGUGCAUCCCACUGAAGCUCCGGUUCAAACGGCGCUGGGAUCAGGACCAGCACAUGGAAGAGGCGGAGGACAAGAAAGUGAGAGGAGAAGAGAGGGGGAGCGAGAGGAAUGGGAUGGUGGAGGAGAGUGAGAGUGGGAGUGGAGAGGCAGAGAGCCCACCUCCUCUCGCUCAUCAUAGAGUUAGCACCGAGCUCCACCGAGCCACGGCACAGCUGUCACUGGAGAACAAGGAGUGCUGAUACGCAUCGACACACCUAGACGACUGCUGAUACACAACUCGACAACUGCUGAUGGACCCACACUCACACGUGACUUUUUAAAUCAAUGACUGCUGCUACUAACAACAGUAAUACUGACACAUACUCUUCACACUUAGACUAACCGACCCUUGCUUAAUUUAAUCCCGUUCCCCAGGCUACCCUCGUUCCCCCGCCGCCCUCAGCUUCAGACGAGGGGUUCUCCAGCACAUGUUCCAGUACAUCUCAUUGUGACCGUUAUGAAGAAUGAGUUCACCCACGUGCCCCAGCGACCCUCAGGAGUCAUGAAUUUGACCUUUGGCACUAGAGAAUAUUUUAUAUUUUUAGAAGAUAAUUUUAUUUUGCAAAGUGCCUGUGAGCUGUCCCUCAAAAUCCCACAAAGAGAACUAGAGAUGGGUGUCAGAAAGACUGGUUUGAAAGGUCUGGUUUGAGGGGCUUGAUCUUCUUCUCCAGCAGCCCAGCAUUAUUUUCCUCAGCAACAGACUGUGAUCAGUCUGCAUGUGAUGUGGUGGGAUACAAAUGCACAGAAAGUCACAAACAGACUCUGUUCUAAAACCAGCCUGGUCAGAAGUCCGAACCCUCAGGGACAAAAUCCCUCAACGCACACACACACACACACACACUCAGACAUGACCCCUUUCUUAUUCCUUGUAUGAAGUGUCUGAUUCGAGUUUGAUUGUGUGUGUUUCGGAAAUCUAGCUGUGUGUAAGUUCUCAGGAAAUCUCCCUCCUUUCCUUUUCUGUCCAAACCAGCUCACCUUAAAACUCUCUUCCGUUCUCUUUUUUUCCUCUGGGACCAUACCUGAAUCACUUUCAUUCCAUUGGGGACGAAAUGACUCGGGCAUAACAUGCGGUUCAGAGACCAUACUCCUAAAUAUCUUAAAUGGCUAGUUCCUUAGUUGGUUAGUCUUUGAAACGACAGUCUGAAGGUAAUACACAUUAGGGAGUUUAUAACAAGCUUCCCUUGUAUAGUCAGUCCUUUAAGUGUGAACCAAACCAGCAUCCCACACACACACGCACACAAGCUUGUACAGUGAUACUAGACCGUCUGGGGCUCAAAGUUUAACUAUUUUGGCGCUUGAUGUACCAUUUAGAACCAAGUGCUGAUUCUUUGUCCUGAUUAACUGUCCUCAGUCCUUGGACCUCUAUGAGAUCUUACUAUGGACUGGGGGAGGUGAAAUAGCAGUUUCAAUCCAUAAUCCCUUACAUUUAAAUACUAAUUUAAGAAUAGAAAGACAGUAGAAGGCAUGUGUGGCCAGAAGUCGCUCUCUUGCGCACACACACACACACACACACACACACAUACACACACUCUGCCUCUUAUGCCUUGUUUUAAUAGCAUGUCUGACAAGGAAAAACAAAAAUCUUAAAAAAAGAACAGUAUACAUUCAAUAUACCUUUAUAUAUUAUGUGUUGCACAUACUAUAAACGGAAAGCAUAGCAUUAACAGAUAUAUCAAUUUCAGGGGGUUUGUAUCAGAUUUCGUUUUGAGGGGAAGGUUGACUCUUCACCUCAGGGAUAAUGUUGCUAUUUGGGUAAGGGAGGAAAAUGUUGCUUUUCUUGUCAGGUUAAUAAAAGGUAGGGUCAAGGAGCGAAAGAAUAAAUUGUACAUAAGACUCUAACAAAGCACAAGAGCUUUGCACCACAGAUGAUGUGGCACAUUCGGUUCUUUAACCAGCACGCACCUCUUCAACAUCCUGUUCUUACUGCCACAACUUAUGUGUGUGUGUGUGUUUGAGAGAGGCUGCAGGUCUCUGUGCAUGUAUGUAACACCACACCCAAGGCUGUAAUUCUUUUGAAAUCUUGCAUCAUGAACCUCAUAAACCUGUGUGCACUAAAGCCCUGUGGAAGUUGAGCACAGGACUUGAGACAUCAAGAGGGUGGCCAGUCGGACACUAGCCAUGAUAUAAUGGUUUUACAGUGACAGGAAGGAGUUAUAUCAUGGCUUAAGUGUCCCUAAUACCUAAGAUAAUACAUCAAACAAAAUUGAACUGGCAACGGGUUACCUCCUCAAAGUUUUGGACUCUUUCUAGCUGCCUUAUUCCCACUUUAAUCAGAUUUGAUUAUGUUUCAGAUCUCCUCUUUCUUUCUUAAUCAAUUAGUCAAGUCUUUAACUAGGGUGCACGCCCGGCAUACCUCAAAAUAAAAAAAAAUAAAAUAAAUUGAGAUGGGGUGAGCAGUAUUGACCAGUGCAGUCUUGUAAACUUUUGUUUGGGCACAAAGUGUGUGCAUUGUUUCUCUUUAGGAGGGAAGUUAUUUGUUUUCUCUUAGGCUGCUCUCAUCGGUUAUCCCAGGAUG